GCACUGUGUCGAUGCUGGCAGUUGUGCAAUGACUGCUGAAGGAGAUCACUCAUGGCCUCAGCUCCUGCAGGAUGUACCUGAUCCAAAAAAACAAGCCCAGGAAGAGCAGGAAGCGCACCAGGAGUAUCCUCAGAUGGGUCCCAGCCACACCUAAAGGAAACAAAACCUAAAAAAAUAUAUAAAAAUAAAAAAAUCCCAGCCCUGGAAGAUGCAGCCUGACCGUGCCCGGGCUGGCCCCGAUGCGCGGGGCAAUGGUGCCCUCUAAUGUCGGCCGGGCCCGGUGGAGCCGCCCGCUGCCCCCUGGAGGUGUCAGGUGCCCGGGUGGGCUCUGUCAGGGGGCGCGGGUCUUAAAUCCGUCCGGGGCCUGCGGAACUGCCAGGGUACCAAACGCAUGGCAGCCAAAUUCACCCGCAUCUAGGUUUCACAGGUUAUUCCAAGCCUGUUUGACUCCUUGGCAAGACCUCUGGAUGGGAGAAUGCCUUCAGCUCAAGCUGUGAAAAUGAGGUUAAGGUGAACAUCAUCCCACUCCCCAGGCUGGGUUCCCUCUUGUUUGCCGCUCCCUCUGAUCCCUGCGAUGGGCUGUGAGAUAGCCUGCGAUGAUGCAGUGAGCUUUAUGUUUGUGUUCAGCGUAGUAACUUUCUGAAGACACACUGCUGAACCUUCCCCUAAUCUCGAGAAGUGAUCAUUUUGUAAUAUGCCUCGUGGACUCCUGGCAUUAACGUGGCUGCAGGCUCUGAACAAGGACCAAGCACAACACAGCCGGUGGUGAACCUGCAAGGGAACGAGUUGGUGGGCUCCCGGGGGGGGUCCAUCAUGUUCUUCCUGUAGCCAAUCUAACUGUAUGGAGGCCGCCCUGCCCAUGGUACAGCUUUUGCUUUCAGGAGUAGGUUGGUGGCUGCUCUCCAGAUUUGCCCGGCAACCCUUCUCUUUAGGAGCAGCUGACUGAAACUCGAGGGCUCUCCAUUCUCCCCGGAGAGAUUUGGGGGCAGAGGUGGGCCAUGGCAGCACCUGGGAGAAGACUGUCCCAGCAAGGUCCUGCUGGUAAGACUGGAUUGGUGCAAAGAGCUGAGAGUUUUCAUCCUAUUUGGUCAUGUUAUUCUUGGUGUGACUCUCCUGAAUUCAGGCUGCGGUAUUUUUUCCAAAACCCUUCUACAAUUGACACAGUCUCUACCCCAUGCACAUGUUUGGAUGUCAGAUUCCAGCAUUCAGAAAUGUUCUCUUCUGGUUUAAUUUAUCCAGAGUAUGAGAGAGGCAGUUUCUACUGCCCUGUGGUUAAGCAGCAGGACUGGCGUCCAAAGGAUGAUCGAAUCUGAUUCCAGCCUCUUCCACAGACUUCCUCUGUGAUUUCAGACCAGCCAUCACACCCUGCUGGCUGUUAGCGUCCCAUCCAUAAGGCAAGGAGAACCCAAUUCUUUUCCUUCAUCCAAGUCUGGAGCUCUUUUUUGUGUUUGCAGGGCACCAGACAGGGCCUUGGUAUUAGAUGGAGCUUUGGGGCUUUACUAUUAAAAGGUUAGUAAUAACCAGCCCUAUUUCAGAUAAAAUGUGAUUUGCAGUUUAAUAUGCUAAGUAACAAAGACUUUACCAAAAGAAUGAACAAUGGGCUUUUUCCAUUUCACAAAAUAAUUUGCCAGGCAGAAUAAGCACACCAGCAUUUUUAUAAAAACAAAUUAUAAAUAAUUGCUUUUUGCAAUUUAAUACACACAUAGAAAGAGCCAAAAGAGUUCUGCAGCCACUGGGAAUCUAAUUUCAUUGCCGAUUUGGACUGUCUCCUUAGUUUUUAUGAAAAUCCCUGAAGACUGUGCUAUUUAGCUAUUUUGUAAACUAAACAUGG